CAGUAGCCGCGGGAAUACGAAGGGUGCAAGCGUUAAUCGGAAUUACUGGGCGUAAAGCGUGCGCAGGCGGUUGUGUAAGACAGGUGUGAAAUCCCCGGGCUUAACCUGGGAACUGCGCUUGUGACUGCACAGCUAGAGUAUGGCAGAGGAGGGUGGGAUUCCACGUGUAGCAGUGAAAUGCGUAGAGAUGUGGAGGAACACCGAUGGCGAAGGCAGCCCCCUGGGCCAAUACUGACGCUCAUGCACGAAAGCGUGGGGAGCAAACAGGAUUAGAUACCCGUGUAGUCCCUGUCUCUUAUAC
rnacentral:rRNA from 1 species